rnacentral:rRNA from 1 species
GACGAACGCUGGCGGCGUGCCUAAUACAUGCAAGUAGAACGCUGAAGGAGGAGCUUGCUUCUCUGGAUGAGUUGCGAACGGGUGAGUAACGCGUAGGUAACCUGCCUGGUAGCGGGGGAUAACUAUUGGAAACGAUAGCUAAUACCGCAUAAGAGUAGAUGUUGCAUGACAUUUGCUUAAAAGGUGCAAUUGCAUCACUACCAGAUGGACCUGCGUUGUAUUAGCUAGUUGGUGGGGUAACGGCUCACCAAGGCGACGAUACAUAGCCGACCUGAGAGGGUGAUCGGCCACACUGGGACUGAGACACGGCCCAGACGCCUACGGGAGGCAGCAGUAGAGAAUCUUCGGCAAUGGACGGAAGUCUGACCGAGCAACGCCGCGUGAGUGAAGAAGGUUUUCGGAUCGUAAAGCUCUGUUGUAAGAGAAGAACGAGUGUGAGAGUGGAAAGUUCACACUGUGACGGUAUCUUACCAGAAAGGGACGGCUAACUACGUG